rnacentral:misc_RNA from 1 species
ACAUCUCAACUCCUCACGGUUCGCCCGUGAUGAGCUUGGACUUUGGGGGUCUUGCCGGCCUGCAGGUCGGCUCCUCUCAAAUGAAUCAGCUUGCCAGUGUUUGGUGGCGUCACAGGUGUGAUAAAUAUCUACGCUUGUGGUUUUCCGCCAGGCAACCUCCAGCGAUGGGGGCUCACUGGAGCUCACAAAUGUCUCUCCUCGGUGAGGACAGCUCUUUGAAC